rfam:Gossypium raimondii Chr07_contig_1441, whole genome shotgun sequence.
UGUUAUAAAUUUCAUCUAUUUGUACUGUUAAAAACUGGUAUGGCUGACGAAAUAACCAAAAAAUGACAUGUGGUACCUUGUGCUGACUUACAAGGACCAGUUUUCAAUAGUAGGACUGGAUGAAACAUUUAAGA